rnacentral:rRNA from 1 species
UGGGGAAUUUUGGACAAUGGGCGCAAGCCUGAUCCAGCCAUGCCGCGUGCAGGAUGAAGGCCUUCGGGUUGUAAACUGCUUUUGUACGGAACGAAAAGGUGCCUUCUAAUAAAGGGCGCUCAUGACGGUACCGUAAGAAUAAGCACCGGCUAACUACGUGCCAGCAGCCGCGGUAAUACGUAGGGUGCGAGCGUUAAUCGGAAUUACUGGGCGUAAAGCGUGCGCAGGCGGUUUUGUAAGACAGAGGUGAAAUCCCCGGGCUCAACCUGGGAACUGCCUUUGUGACUGCAAGGCUGGAGUGCGGCAGAGGGGGAUGGAAUUCCGCGUGUAGCAGUGAAAUGCGUAGAUAUGCGGAGGAACACCGAUGCCGAAGGCAAUCCCCUGGGCCUGCACUGACGCUCAUGCACGAAAGCGUGGGGAGCAAACA